rnacentral:rRNA from 1 species
AGAGAUGUGUGAUGACGCAUAUCAAUAAGCGGAGGAAAAGAAACUAACAAGGAUUCCCUUAGUAACGGCGAGUGAAGCGGGAAGAGCUCAAAUCUGAAAUCUUCAAGGUUCUACCUUGACGAAUUGUAGUUUAUAGAAGUGUUUUCUGUUAGUGGAGUGGCAAAAGUUCUUUGGAAUAGGACAUCAUAGAGGGUGAGAAUCCUGUAUUUGGUCAUUCCUUCUAGCUUUGUGAUACACUUUCAAAGAGUCGGAUUGUUUGGGAAUGCAGUCCAAAAUGGGUGGUAAAUUUCAUCUAAAGCUAAAUACUGGCGAGAGACCGAUAGCGAACAAGUACCGUGAGGGAAAGAUGAAAAGAACUUUGAAAAGAGAGUUAAACAGUACGUGAAAUUGUCAAAAGGGAAGCGUUUGACACCAGUGUUGUUUUCUCGAAAAUCAAUUAAAAAUGGUGGGAUGUUGUGUUGUAUUGACUUUAUCAGCUUUCUGCACUUUUUUUCCUAUCUUUUUUAAUGCACUUUUCGUUUAACAAGUCAACAUCAAUUUCUUUUGUUGUAAAAGAGUCAUUGGAAGGUGGCUUUCUUUUCGGAAAAAGUGUUUAUAGCCUUUGGCUUCUGCAAUCGGAGAGAUUGAGGUCUGCAGCGUAGAUCCUUCGGGGUUAGAUGCAUUUGUGCUAAGUUAUAGCCUUUCAUAGACAACUUGUUGACUAUGAUCAGUCAUGUAGCUUACUCGCUUAUGUCAUUUUACCUACGCUUAGGAUGUAUGACGCAUGAGAUAUACGC